ensembl:lncRNA
CUGUUUUAUGUUACUUCACUGUCAGAAGACCCAGCACUGGUAUGCGAGCGGAGGUGUGAGCGCCUCAGAAACGUGUAACACACACACACACACACACACACACACACCCUAAACCACUCCGUCCUCUGGGAAGAGGGUCCCUCUGCCCGACUCCCUGAAGGUGGCUCCCUGCCCAGGGCCCAGCUCUCUUCUCCUGGACGCCACCUCCCCGGAGCUGGGGGACUGGGCUCCGCAACCGCUGCGAAGCUUCCCCUAAGCCGCAGGCCUAAGGCCACCCUUGGUCCCAGACCCAGCGCCGGGACGCGCGCCCCAGCCCCGUCGGAGCUGCCAUGGCCCGAUGAUUAGGGCCACUGUGGCCCCUGACUUUCUCUUAUUAAUGUUUUUUUUUAAAUUGUAAAUCAUUACUCAGCUCAGCUCAGUCACCAGGCAAACUGUGUUUAAUAAAUUAGCUUAAUCUAUUCCGCAAGUGGUUUGUGAGUGCGGUGUUUCCUCUGGUUAAGGAAAACAUUUAUAUUCUCUCUCCUUGCCCUGCAUUCCUGGGCUUCAGGAGUCGCUACCCAGGCCGGGCGCACUUGGAGGCCUGCGGGGGGAGGCUCUCGGCCCGCCGCUCGCGGGGGCCCCCACCUCGGGCGGCCAGGAGGGCAGUUGGUGGCCGCGUGGCCUCUUUGUCCCCGUCAGCCCGAGGCGGCGCUGGUGCCCACCCGGCCUCCCCGCGGCCCAGCCCCGCGCCUCCGCCACAGGCCGCAAGCAUUCUCCUCUUCCAGAGGGGCCUCUUUAACGGCUCCCCAAGAAAUAAUCAUUCAUUAUGUCACCAGAAGGGAAGAAAGGGAGUUCAUCCUCCUGCUCCUUGCUAGAGACACUGUUCAUGUCUAUGAAAUGAGGGCAAGGAUAGUCUAGAUCCUAAGAAGAAUCAUACGGCCUUCUUUUGUUCCGUCAAUGACAGGUUCCCCAUUGCUUCAAGAGCUGCUCAAAAAGGUGAGUUCUCUUCUCCCUUCCUGGGAGUCUUUCCACAUUUCUCCUCCCUCUAAUUCAUUUUUACUGGAGGUUAAUAGAUCAUACUUCUGAGCUUAAAAUUCAUUCUUUUAACCUUGCCAAUUUUCUCCUUCUUUCCUUUUAUUUUUAUUUAAAUAAAAAUAAAAAACCCCAACCUGCAAGUGAAACAAGCAGCUUCACUUUUGCAUCAAAACCAGGUAGAAAAGGACAAGUGAAAAAAGACCAUUAUUUGUGUCCCAUUUUUGCUGCCUUUGUGGGGACAGGGAUGGCUUAUUUGGCAUGCUUAUUGCUAAAGUAGACAAUGCUAGUCCCUGAGCACCCCUAAUUCUGGACUGAAAUCUGUCCUUCUCUGACACUGAAAAGACACUUUUAAUUUUGACACAUCUAUUCAUCAAAAAUUUACUGAGGGUUUAUUAUAUGCUAAGCACUGUGCUAGCUGUCGAAGAAGUAAGCAACAUAUGCUCCUUCUGAGGGCAAACACAUUAUGCAUUUCUGCAGAUGCCCUCUUGCUAAUUUUUGUACUAAUCUAGUACUAAAGUCAUCUAAAGAGUCUUCCCUCUCCAAAGCAGAUGCCUGCCACAAUCUACUUUUAAGACUACACCUCCUUGAGACUCAAAAAUUACCCUGGAAAUUGGCUGGGUGUGGUGGCUCACACCUGUAAUCCCAGCACUUUGGGAGGCCAAGGCAGGAGGAUUGCUUCAGGCCUGGAGUUUGAGACCAGCCUGGUCAACAGAGUGAGAUCCUGUCUUUACAAAAAGUAAAAAAUAAGCCAAGUAUGGGGGCACAUGCCUAUAGUCCUAGCUCCUCAGGGGGCUGAGGGAGUAGGAUGGAUUGAGUCCAGGAGUUUGAGGCUACAAUGAGCUGUGAUCUUGCCACUGCACUCUAGCUUGUGUGACAGAGCAAAAUCCUGUCUCUGAAAAAUAAAAAUAAAUCAGGAAAUAGAGUUUUAGAACUGCUGACUGGAUGGGACACCAAAUCUACCCACCAUAUGGAACCCAUCAGGAAAUAAAGAAUUUAAGAGUAAAUGACUCCUCUGAAGCCACCCACAGUGAUCAUCAAUCUCAUCUAUCUUGAGUGGCUUAGGGGCUGGUCAGGAUAUCCUUGAGGCCAAGGAAUAUCCUCAAGGAUAGCUAGAUGUCCUUUCCAGUCUGGAGAUUCUAGGCAGAUCAGAGAAAACGGUGGCAACCUGGCCACCGGCUCUCUGGAGUCAAGAAUCUGAAGCAAUGUGAGCGGCCGCCAGUUCGUGCCACUGCCAGUGUUUGCCUACGCCAUCACUAUCAGCAUCAAACUCACUCCCUGCUUUGUUAAGUGCUUUGGGAUUUCUCAAGUAGAAAAGGUGCUAUAUAAAAUCAAUCACAGGAAACCCUGCUGCUGGCAGCUCAGAACAGCUACAGUAAGCGGUGUCCACUCAAUCAAUAGUCCCUCACUGAGAAGGGGAAAGAAUACCAUUAAAAAGAUGUGCUCUUAGAAAAACUUCCCUUAAGUAAGGGGGGGGAAGGGAAUUCUACCUUACAAAGAGUAUAUAUAUACAGAAAGCACACAAUACAUUGUUUCUCCGUGACAGAUGUUAAACACAACAGGAGAAGGAACUUACUGCUUACUACAUAAUUUUGCUUUUAUUUUAACCAUGAAAGAGCACAAACUGAUACACAUUGAGCCUGAGAAAGCUUGUAGGCCCUAUGCAGGAAAGGUCUAUUGGAGUCAGUCUUGAAAUGAAAAUGGAAUUAACUCUAUGGCACUGGGGUAGAAAAAAAAGUGAUUUCUACAGUUUGCUUUCCAAAGCAUGAUAUGCAUGUGUAUUAGUACAUUUUUACACUAUUAUAAAGAUACUACCUGAGCAUGGGUAAUUUACAAAGAAAAGAAAACUGGCUCACAGUUCCACAGGCUGUAUAGGAACCAUGGCUGGGAAGGCCUCAGGAAACUUACAAUCAUGAUAGAAGGCAAAGGGGAAGCAGGCACCUUUUUCAUAAGGCGGCAGAAGAGAGAGACCAUGCAGGGGAAACUGUCACUUUUAAAACCAUCAGAUCUCAUGAGAACUCCCUCACUAUCAUCAGAACAACAUGGGGGAAACCACCCCCAAGAUCCAAUCACCUCCUACCAGGUCCUUCCCUUGACACCUGGGGAUCUCAAUUUGAGAUGAGAUUUGAGUGGGGACACAGAGCCCAACGAUAGCAGCAUGUUUGAGAUUCAGUAUAACUUGUCUGCCUUUUAUUAUGUUUAAAUAUAGGAAUAUAGGUAGAUGCAUAUCAUUUUAUGAUGUUAAAGAACUGGGCUUCUUGCACAAUCCUAAGGAAUAUUAAUUUGGAUUAUUUUUGGUUUUCAUUUCAUUUCAAAAGUCAAAAUGCAAAAAAUAUAUAAAAUUGCAUUACUAUGUACAUGAAAUCAUGCUACUUCUCAAAGGCACAACAUAGUAAUUUAACUAGUUGAGAAAAUUAGGAAGAGGCUAUCCCCAGUGUUCUUAAUCCACAAACAAUGUUUUUGUUAACUACAGAAAAGUAUUGUGAGUUUUUUUUGUUUUGUUUUGUUUUUGUUUUUUAAGUUAGAACUUUAAAAAGCAAAUAGGGGCUGGGCACAGUGGCUUCUGCAUAUAAUCCUGGCACUUUGGGAGACCAAGGCAGGUGGAUCACCUGAGGUCAGGAGUUUGAGACCAGCCUGACCAACAUAAUGAAAUCCCAUCUCUACUAAACCCCAGCUACUCAGGAGGCUAAGGCAGGAGAAUCGCUUGAACCUAGGUGCUGGAGGUUGCAGUGAGCCAAUAGUUCCACUGCACUCCCGCCUGGUUGAGAGAGCAAGACUUUGUCUCAAAAAACAAACAAAUAGGUAAAACUAUUGCAGUUCUCCCUGAGUUAUGUGUAAUCUAAGAAGAAAGUUCUCCAAGCUUUUGUCUAAUGAAGUCUUCCUGUGGCAUGAAGGAAUAUUUUAGUUUUUAUUUAUUAUUAUUAUUAUUAUUAUUAUUUUUUUUUUUUGAGACGGACUUUCACGCUUGUUACCCAGGCUGGAGUGCAAUAGCACUAUCUCGGCUCACCGCAACCUCUGCCUCCUGGGUUCAGGCAAUUCUCCUGCCUCAGCCUCCUGAGUAGCUGGGACUACAGGCACACGCCACCACGCCCAGCUAAUUUUUUGUAUUUUUAAUAGAGACGAGGUUUCACUAUGUUGACCAGGAUGGUCUCAAUCUCUUGACCUCGUGGCCCACCUGCCUCAGCCUCCCAAAGUGCUGGGAUUACAGGCGUGAGCCACCGCGCCCGGCUGAAGGAAUAUUUUAAAUCAGUUAUCAGUGUCUCUUUAAGUCUUUUCAACAAACCAUAAUAGAGUUUAAAUUGCUAAAGUGUAAAUGAUUAAAAAUCUCAUAUUUGCAAGAAAAUGCAUAUGUUCUUUGAUCCAAGUGUUGUAAACCCUGGAGUGCAUUAGAAUUCCUUGGAAGGGCUUGUUAGAUGCUGAUAUAAUGGCUAGUGGACCUUACCUUAAGAAAUUCUGUGCCCAGUCCCUUGGUUGUAGGUUAGGAAACUACUUCAUGGCUGUUUGACAAUGACUUGCUCAAGUCCACCAGCCAUAACCAUGCGUCCCACCUGUUCCACAUCAGCAGUCUUUUCCCUUCAACACCUGGUUAUUCUCCUGGAAAUGGCUUUAGCUGCUGUCAAACGCUUCUCGAAUUGUUCACCCAGGACAAAUGAUGUUCCCUUCAUGGAAGUAAUUCCUGAGUAGCUUCUCUUUCUUCCUUUGAGUUCUUUACAAUCAUUUCAGUCUAUGAAAUCAGAAUUGAGUUGAAACCGUUUAUUAUACAAAAAUGCCCAGUUACAGACCUAGUACUGUUUUUUCUUGAUAACGUCUGGUUAUAAUAUUCUCAAAAACUCAGGGUGGAGCCGAGAAAAGGUGAGUGGAUCUGGUCAGUGUACACUGUAGCUGAGACUCUAGGUUUACAGCCAAUGAUGUCCUCAGCUUAGAUUUCAGCAGUUUCACUAGAGUGACUAUACUUCCCAGAGCUACCAAAUGCUACCCAGAGUCUGACCACAUUACCAGACAUUUCAGAUGAGAUCUAGAUUUAAACAGACACACCUCAACUUGGGCAGGGGAGGGGGUUAAUUGUUUCUUGGUUCACAUAAUUUAAUUUGUUUACUUCUCUUAAACACCUAGCUACACCAACAGGGUCGAUGCUUAAUAAUUCAGACACAUUCUGAAGUUUAUGCCCCAAAGGCAAUGCUAGGAAUUACAACAGUGAUUCAUACACAAAGAAAUCUGCAACUUUCCAGCAGAAUUAUUUCUAAAACCUACCAAAUAUUACCUUUUCUUCUACAGGGUAGAUUGUUUCUUGCUUAACCAUCAUACUCCCGCCAGGGAGAGCCAGGGAGAAGAAUGAUAAUCAAACUCCACUCUAUCUACUAUCUCUGUCCUAUUUUCUUCAUGAAAUUUUUAUCAGCAAUGAUAAAAUCAGCUUCUUUGAGUCUUAGUUUUCUCCUUGCAGAGCUGGGAGGAGAAGGUAAAAAGCUAAAACAGCAGAAAAAGUGGGAGACAAAAGAAGCAGAAAACUAGAAAAGAAACAAUAUAACCCCAACCUCAAAUAACCAAGACACACAACACUUUCAAAUACUGAGAACUCCUUCACAUUUGUGAUUGUUUCACAAUUUUUAGAUAAGUAAUCAAGGAA